GGGGUUGUGGCGGAAGUGGGCAUACGCACAGCACUUAAAAUGCUGGAGGUGCAAAACCUAUGAGAGUUCGAGGCUCUCCAACUCCA
rnacentral:tRNA from 1 species